UACGGGGGGGGCAAGCGUUGUUCGGAAUUACUGGGCGUAAAGGGUUUGUAGGUGGCUUGCUAAGUCAGACGUGAAAUCCCUCAGCUUAACUGAGGAACUGCGUCUGAGACUGGCAAGCUUGAGUGCAGGAGAGGAACACGGAAUUCCAGGUGUAGCGGUGAAAUGCGUAGAUAUCUGGAGGAACACCCGUGGCGAAGGCGGCUCUCUGGGACGGUACUGACGCUGAGACGCGAAAGCGUGGGGAGCGAACAGG
rnacentral:rRNA from 1 species